CCAUCACAGAACUGGUCGCCCAUGACCUUUCCGAAGGUUGCGUAUCUCCGAACCCUCUUGACCGAGGUAAAACGAGUCCAACGUUCAGCAUGGAACCUCGCCAAGCUAUCUCCACUGAGCUCACCCAGAGCCAAAGUGUUGUCUCCUCCUCGCCCUUGGGCGAGGUAGAAUACUUGGCUUGAUCAAUCUCCACCAGAUUCCUAUCUAUACGCCCAUCGCGAGAUUUUCUCCUCCACGACACCAACAAUUACGGGAUACUCUCCAGAUGGCAAUCUUCCCAAUUAUAUCUCCUACAUCUCCGAGAUAUCUUUCUAUACUUAUCCUUCCGAGGAUCUCGCCGUGAUCCAUGGGCACGGCCCAUUACUCCGUCUAUAAAAAGGCCGCUCCCCCGUUAUACAAAGGU
rnacentral:lncRNA from 1 species